rnacentral:rRNA from 1 species
GACGGAGGAUGCAAGCGUUAUCCGGAAUGAUUGGGCGUAAAGCGUCUGUAGGUGGUUUAUUAAGUCUACUGUUAAAUAUCAGGGCUUAACCCUGAAUCGGCAGUAGAAACUCAUAAGCUUGAGUACGGUAGGGGCAGAGGGAAUUCCCGGUGUAGCGGUGAAAUGCGUAGAGAUCGGGAAGAACACCGAUGGCGAAAGCACUCUGCUGGGCCGAAACUGACACUGAGAGACGAAAGCUAGGGGAGCAAAAGGG